GAUUAGAUUCAUAAUCUAAUACAUUUACGCUUCCAUUACGUUACUCUAAUUCUUCCUCGAUCUUUGAGGAAUCUAUCCUUCAGUAUUUCUUAAAUACUUAAGGACUCACUUGACAGUUGCCAUGGUUCUGAUCCUGGGCUUGCACUGAUAUCGUCUUGUACCGUUCUAGGUACAACUCAUAUCAAUGUUUUUCAUACAAUAUGAAAUACAUAAAUCACCUUCUGCUUAUGCAUAAAGGAUUCUAUUUACGCAUUAUUUCUUUGGGAGUCAAAGGGCACGUUCCCUUUGAGAAGGGCAACUUGCUAGUCACACUAGAGUCAUCCUUCUAAUUGAAGUUUAUUAUCAUAUGAGAAACUUCCUAGCACCUUUUGUCUAUUAGUAGGGAUUGAUAUAAUCAAAUUAUAUCUUGAAAUCUAUCAUUAUAGAUUUACUUCCCAUGUUUAUAGACAAUGUCUCCCAUAUACAUUCUAUCGUUUAUAGAAUGUUUAAAGUCAUAACUUUAACGAAGAAAUAUUCUUUUCAUUUCCAAAAUUAAUAUAUCAUAUAUACAUUCAUAUAAAUCACAUAUAUAUUUAUAUAUAUAUAUAUACACAAAUUUAGGAAUAUGAUUAACUCCCACUAAUCUUUUGUAAACCUAGUAAACAAAAGAUUCAUUUACA
rnacentral:lncRNA from 1 species